rnacentral:ncRNA from 1 species
ACAGGUUUGGUCCUAGCCUUAAUAUUAGCAACAGCCACAAUUAUACAUGCAAGUUUCAACACCCCAGUAAGUAAUGCCCCAGUAAUAGGGGAGCCGGUAUCAGGCGCACAGCCCAAAACACCUUGCUAAGCCACACCUAUACAGGAAAUCAGCAGUAACAUACAUUGAACAAUAAGUGAAAACUUGAUUCAGUAAUAGUUAUUAAAGUUGGUAAAUCUCGUGCCAGCCACCGCGGUUAUAUGAGAGACUUAAGUUGAUAUACGCAACCCAAAGAACAGCUAGAGAAACCAACUAUAGGAUUGAGAGACUUUAAAGCCGUUAUAUGCAAAAAAUACUUAAAACCCACAAUAUUCCUAUAUUCCUUGAAUCUUCUAAAGCCAGGGAACACACUGGGAUUAGAUACCCCACUAUGCCAGGCCAUAAACUUUGAACUCUCCGCCUGAGCACUACAAGCCACAGCUUAAAACUCAAAGGACUUGGCGGUGUUCUAUACCCAACUAGAGGAGCCUGUUCUAUAAUUGAUGAUCCCCAAUAAACCUCACCGUCUUUUGCAAAUACAGUCUAUAUACCACCGUCACAAGCCCACCCUAUUAAAGGAACAAUAGUAGGCUAAACAAUUUAAAAUAAAAAAGUCAGGUCAAGGUGUAACAUAUAAGUCGGAAAGAAAUGGGCUACAUUUUCUCCAAAGAAAACACGGAAUAUUUCAUGAAAUGUAAUAUAAAGGAGGAUUUAGCAGUAAAAAGAGAAUAGAGAGCUCUUUUAAAGUUGGCAAUAGAACAAGCACACACCGCCCGUCACCCUCUUCAAUAAUAAAAAUGAUAAAUAAUAAAACCUACACCUUAGAAGAGGAAAGUCGUAACAUGGUAAGUCUACCGGAAGGUGGUCUUGGAA